rnacentral:rRNA from 1 species
UACGAAGGGGGCUAGCGUUGUUCGGAAUUACUGGGCGUAAAGCGCGCGCAGGCGGUCCCUCAAGUCAGAGGUGAAAGCCCAGAGCUCAACUCUGGAACGGCCUUUGAGACUAGAGGACUUGGGUACGGGAGAGGUGAGUGGAAUUCCGAGUGUAGAGGUGAAAUUCGUAGAUAUUCGGAAGAACACCAGUGGCGAAGGCGGCUCACUGGCCCGUUACCGACGCUCAGGCGCGACAGCGUGGGGAGCAAACAGG